CAACUGGACCGUGGCCCUGCCUGG
rnacentral:miRNA from 1 species